AGGGACCGGUCAUUAAAUAUGGCAAGGGGGGGGGGGAUGGAGGAGAAACUAGAAAUUUUGAAAAAAAUUUUGGGACCCCCCUCAAAAAUUAUAUGCCUUUUCAAGGCCCCCCUUAUGCAUUUUAUACUUUUUAAAGACCCCCCCCCCUCUUGUACCGCUUGAAAAUAUAGUUUUGUAUUGAUGGCUGGCCCGAUUAGGACAAACUUAGGAGAGCAAGUGAUCAAUGAAGAGUAUUAAAAGAGGUAUAAAAUUUGAUGAAACUAGUUAAAUAAAUAUUUUACAAUCUAUUUAGGUAGGUUACUCUAUGGCCUAUGCUUGUCUCGCCUACAUCCACUUUUAUAUUAUGUUUUUUAUGCUUUACUCGUUAUGUUAAUACCCAGUGUUCCAGUUUAAAGGGCAUUUUAUGCAUCUCUUUUGGCUGUUCAUAGUAUAUAACGAGAAACAAUCCUUUUGUUGGGAAAAAUCCGAAGACCCCC